ACGGAGGAUCCGAGCGUUAUCCGGAUUUAUUGGGUUUAAAGGGUGCGUAGGUGGUUUAAUAAGUCAGCGGUGAAAGUUUGCAGCUUAACUGUAAAAAUGCCGUUGAAACUGUUAGACUUGAGUGUAAAUGAGGUAGGCGGAAUGCGUGGUGUAGAGGUGAAAUGCUUAGAUAUCGCGCGGAACUCCGAUGGCGUAGGCGGCUUACCGGGCUGCAACUGACGCUGAGGCGCGAAAGCGUGGGGAGCAAACAG
rnacentral:rRNA from 1 species